AAAGAUAUCGGCAGCCUGUCCUGAUUUCUCGUAUUGAUUCCUAUUCAACUUCAAACUCUUGUCUUGGCCCUAAUCCACUAACGUACUUAUGAGUAGUUCACCUCCAAAGAAAGAAAGGGAUGGAAAAUUUGAAAAUCUCUUCUUAAGUUACUAUUUGAUUUGUGAAUGAGGAUUGGAAAAAACAAAUAAACAAAAACAGUUUGGGAAAUUACACGGAACCUUGCUAUUAAGUCCAGUUCCCACACUCUUUCUCAAAUAGUUCAUAGCAUUUUUCACCUGGACAAUUUCUCAAGAUCGCAGCAAUACCAAUUAGCUCAAAAGGUCCUUAUGCUGAAGACAUUCAAACUCUAUCACGAAUGUCUAAUUUUAAGUUGAUUGUGCCUAUGGCUUAAUUAUUGCAAUUUAAUUGCCUUUAUGACAAUAUCGAUUUCUUCUCUGUUUUUUGUUUUAAAUUUUGCAGCUGAGAGACUAUCGGCAAAUGGGGUUAGUCAUGGCGGUUAAAGCAGACAAGAUCCCUGCAUUUCGACAGCAGUUAAAAUCUUUCGUAGAGGGAUCAUGAUGCUAAUCGAAAGGUGUUGCAGGUGCCAAAUUUUGAUUUAUAUUUGAAGGCAUUAGGACAUUCACGUGGUGAAGGUUUUGGAAGCGCUCGUUGGUCCCAAAUGGUCCCUCAAAAGAUUCAUCGAAAAAGCAGAGCAAGGAAAGGUACAGAAAUAUUGUAUUGAGGAACGUGUCAUGGACCAUCAUAAGCUAUUAUCUCCCAGAUUCUAUGUGAACCAGAAGGGAAAAUAGAGAGAGAGUUUGAAACCAUCCAAAAGAAGUGGAACUUUACGUAUGAGGCCAAAGAAGAGCACCAUUAUCUUAUAAUAUUUGUGAUUUUAAAUUUUGUGUGGCGAUAAGAACAAUACACAUGGAAUAUUUGCUUCAACUUGUUUGCACACAGAUAGCGCAUAAUUACACACACAAUAUAGUCGAUGCCUUCUGUCCAAACCAAACCCCCCACUGCCACUUCCUUUU